UACAGAGGGGGCAAGCGUUGUUCGGAAUUAUUGGGCGUAAAGGGCGCGUAGGCGGUGCGGUAAGUCACUUGUGAAAUCUCUGGGCUCAACUCAGAGUCUGCAAGCGAAACUGCCGUGCUUGAGUGUCGGAGAGGUAAGUGGAAUUCCUGGUGUAGCGGUGAAAUGCGCAGAUAUCAGGAAGAACACCCGUGGCGAAAGCGGCUCUCUGGAACGGUACUGACGCUGAGACGCGAAAGCGUGGGGAGCGAACAGG
rnacentral:rRNA from 1 species